AAGAAGUGUGCCCCUCCUCCUCCCUAGAAGCCUGUGGGGCCGAGAUGCCCGGACCUGCCCGGCCCGAACUAGGCAAAGUCCAGCGAAUAGGUGAAGAGGUGGUGCCUCCUCCUCUCACAGGGCUCUGCCCCUAGGAGUCCAGGAAACGGGGGUGUCUUGUCCGCUGAUGGUUCCCGCUAAUAGGCAAACACCAGGAACGUGCAGCCCCUCCCCUCCGCCUCGCGCUCUUUCUGGGAGGAGCCUGGGGGGGGGAGGGUCCUGCCCACGGGCCCCGCCCUGCACUAGGCGGAAGCCCCCAAAGUAUCAGCGCCGCUUCGUGGAGCCUGGCGACUGCUUUGGGAAGUCCUGCUGGCAGGCACUCUGCCCCUGGGGGUGUGCAAAGAGUUGUCCAGUUACCUUGAUCUUCUCACAGCCUCCUCCCCAGGGCACCAGGAGAGACCAGGAUUGGAGGACGGUAAAGAACACACUUCCCAGAGGAUUCUUGGAGGCAAAUGCUCCUGGUUGGCAGGUGGCUUCCUCCAGGCAGUAAAUCUACAGCCCAGGCUCCCUGCAUCUUAUGGCUCCAAUCACUUUGGAUCUCAUCGUCGCCUGCACAUUGCCAUACACAGGGAAGGAGAAGAGAUGGAGAAGGCAAAGACUUUCUGAAAGCCGUGGCUAAAAGCUGGCAUGUGUCACAUCAGCUCACAUUCCAUUGUAGAGACGGGGUUUCACCGUGUUAGCCAGGAUGGUCUUGAUAUCCUGACCUCGUGAUCCGCCCGCCUUGGCUUCCCAAAGUGCUGGGAUUACAGGCGUGAGCCACCGCUCCCGGCCUGGCAGGCAUUCUUGAGGCAAACGGGAAAUGGGGUAAGUUACACAAUCGAUACAGCUCCGUCAUCGUGGUUUAAUUACUUUUCCACGUACCAUGUUUCCUGACAGGUAGAACGAUCAGCCUGGGCCUCCGUUUUUCAUUCUACAAAGAAUGAAGUGCAUGAACUGUCCUCUAUAGAAUUGUGGAAAAAGUUGUUUUUAUUGAGUUGUGGUUAUCUUUGUCUUCAUGGUCUAAUUACGGAAAUAAAUGCUUUUCCGAGUCUCCGGGGAUGGUCUGCCCUAGUCCAGCUCUCUGCAGUGUCUUUCUGGGUUUUUCCUCAGUGAACGGGAGGAACAUUGGCAGCACUUGUGGUCUGCACCAAGAACUGAAUCGAAUUUCCAUGUGUUAUUGAAUGUUCACAAAGACCUUGUACAGCGAGUGUUACUACCUCUGGUCAAUGAUUCAACUCAAGGCUCAGAAAAGUCAAGUGUCUUGUCCAGGGACACUUAGUCAGAAGUGAAUCCAAGGUUUAAGCUCAAGUCUGCCUAACUCUGAAUUUCACAGCCUUUUGCUACAUAUGGCGAAUAAUAUAUCCCUGAGCACUAAAGGCAGACUCCAAGGAUCUUGUCUCUGCAAUCAUCAUUCUGGCCAUAAUUUAUGAAAAGCAACCCAAAGUAUGUGAUGUAAUAAAAAGUACUAUCUAUGAGUUUACCCUUCCAAAAAUUGAACUGAAUUCUGAGCUCUAAAUUUGGAAUCAAAAGAACUUUUCUCUGCACUAAUCAUUUGGAACAUCACUUAAAGAAAACAACGAAAAACUGGUGUCCCCUGAGAGAAAGCAAUACAAAACAUUAUGCAUAAAGAAAUCCUUCCAAAAAAUAAACCAAAUCCAGUCAAAUCUCUAGUUUUGACUCCUAGCUUACCGGAAAUACGUGAUGGGAAAAAAAUGAAAUGACACCACUAUGAUUCAAUCAGCCAAAUCCAGCAUAUGCAAAUUUCUACCAGAUAAAUGGUUUAGUUUCUUCCCCAAACAAAUGGCACAAGGAAACGGAGGUAAGAAUGGGAUGCUGUUAUAGAUUUUAAAAGAUUUAAGAAAGUAUAAACUAAAUACACUAUGUGCAUCCUCUCUGAACGUGCUUCAAACAUAUCAAGGGGUCAAUGAGCAGUUUUGAAACAAUAAGGGAAUUUGAACACUGAAUGGUUGUCAGAAGAUAGUAAGAGAUCAUUAUUAAUUUUACUAGACAUAAUGAUGUUCUGAUUUUGUUUUUUUUUUAAAAAAAAAACAGUGUUAUUUCCUUUAUAGAUACAUCAUAUAGUAUUAACUAAUGAAAUGCUUUGAUAUCUGGAACGUUUAAAAAAUAUUCCCGAUGGAGUAAGUGCAAAGAAACAGGUAAGCAAAAUGCUGAUAAUUGCUGAAACACAGGAUGUGUACCUGGGGCUUCAUUUACUAUCUCUUCAUUUUCUAUUUUGAUAUUUGUUGGACAUUCUCAUAAAAAGGAAAGUUAUGUUUUAUUUUCUCAUAAGCUAGUAAUGAAAUAGCCCUACGUAACUGAUAUUGUAGAGACAAGAAUAGGUGUAAUAGAGCUUAAGGUUUUCAUUUAAAAAACUAUCUGUAGACUUCAAUGGAUCUUAGGUGGCAUCCAUGCAAUAACACUCGUGGAACAUGCAGGACAGGUGUGGAGCUCCAUCUUCACACAGUGACAUUUUUUAUGCUUCUGUUUUCCCUAAGAGUGGAGUGAGAGGAUGAUUAUUUUAUAUCAUGGACUUCUUCCCUGCUAUACUUUUUUUAAUUAUUUUACUUUCACUUCUGGGAUACAUGUGCUGAGCAUGCAGGCUUGUUUACAUAGGUAUACAUCUGCCAUGGUGGUUUGCUGCACCUAUCAACCCAUCAUACAGGUUUUAAGCCCUGCAUGCAUUAGGUAUUCGCCCUAAUGCUCUCCCUCGCCUUUCCCCCCACCCCCUGAUAGCCCCCAGUGAGUCAUAUUCCCCUCCCUGUGUCCAUGUGUUCUCAUUGUUCAACUCCCAUUUAUGAGUGAGAAUAUGUGGUGUUUAGUUUUCUGUUCCUGUGUUAGUUUGCUGAGAAUGAUGUUUUCCAGCUUCAUCCAUGUCCCUGAAAAGGACAUGAGCUCAUUCUUUUUUAUGGCUGCAUAGUAUUCCACGGUGUUAUAUGUGCCACAUUUUCUUAAUCCAGUCUGUCAUUGAUGGACAUUUGGGUUGUUUCCAAGUCUUUGCUAUUGUAAAUAGUGCUGCAAUAAACAUAUGUGUGCAUGUGUCUUUGUAGUAGAAUGAUUUAUAAUCCUUUGGGUAUAUGCCCAGUAAUGGGACUGAUGGGUCAAAUGGUAUUUCUGGUUCUAGAUCCUUGAGGAAUUGCCACACUGUCUUCCACAAUGGUUGAACUAAUUUAUACUCCCACCAACAGGGUAAAAGCAUUCCUAUUUCUCCACAUCCUCUCCAGCAUCUGUUGUUUCCAAAUGUUUUAAUGAUUGCCAUUCCACCUGGCGUGAGAUGGUAUCUCAUUGUGGUUUUGAUUUUCAUUUCUCUAAUGACCAGUGAUGAUAAGCUUUUUUUCAUAUGUUUGUUGGCCACAUAAAUGUCUUCUUUUGACUUUUAUGUGGAAACAAAUUUAACUGCACAGAGAGGUGAAAAUUAAUUAAUAACUUUUAAAGUAAUUCCCUAAGUUUCUAAGGAUCUAUAUGUUUCCAUCUGACUUUAUUUUAUUUAAGCUCUUGAUUGAUGCUGCAUUUGGAGCAGGUUCAUGAACAUGAAUAGAGUUAAUCUGGGACAGAUUUCCCUCAUUUGAUUUUUUCACUGUUUCCAUCACAGAACUUAUUUCAUGCUCACCAUGUUUGCAGGCAUUGAGCUUGGUACUGGAGCCACAGAGCUGGAUCAGACAGACUUGUGCAAAUAUUUCAGGUUUUUUUUGUGGGGGGGUCAUAUUUAUAGAUAAAUAACAGUAAAGAGUGACGGGUUCUUAUGAAAAUGCAUACACAGUGAAGUAGAGGGUGAAAAGGAGGGAUGUGUUCUAUGAGGAGGAAGAGUGAUAAGAAAGUGUAAGGGGAUGUGUCUGUGUCUAGACAUAUGUGUGUUCACGUGUGUGCGUGCUUGUGUGUACUGCAUGUGUAUAUGUGUGGCCAUGCACCUGUGUGCAUGUUCAUGUGUGUGUGUGUAUGUGUCUGUGUUGAGGACUAAAUUAAUUGGGCUUAUGGAAGCAGGGAGCCACUGAUAGGUUUAAUUAGAGACUGACAUGAUAUGAUAGUUUAGGUGGAUUUCUCUGGGGGCUGUGUUGAGGGACAGUGGGGAGGAGAGCUAGAAGGAAGAAAAGGACACAUGCAUAACAGAAGCAAUAUCUGUCUAUGGGAUGGUGGAAAGAAUCAGAAAAGACUUAAUAAAACAUGUGACACUUUAACUGAAUCUUGAAAUAGACAAGUGUUGGAGGAGGGAGUUGGACCAGAUACUUCAUGCAAAGGGAAGAAAAGUGCACAAACAAAAUAUGAGAAACAAGGCAGACAGGCAUUUUUUUAAAAUUUUCGCACCCACUGAUAGACCAGUGAUGCAUUCACAUCGUCUGCAUUCAUGAUCAACAAAAGUGCUUUCCUAGAACAUGAACCUCAACCCAAGUGUCGCCUCAAGUAGUGUAUGCAUGAACUCAAGCAUUAAAUUAGAAUUGAUUUUUUAAAAAACUCACACAAACAGAUGUAUUAUUUAAAAAUCUUUAAAGCAGGUUUAAACAGUUUUCAGGAUUAAAAGCAGCCACUAUUAGAAAGAACAAAAAUACAUUUGACAUAAAUAUAAGGAGCCUCAAUAGAACCUCCUGUACCCAGUCAUUGUCAAUGCCACAUCCAUUCAUUCACCAGCCCUUAUAUCAAUGCUUGCUGGGCUCACUUACCACGAUCAGCACGUGCAUGUCCUUAUCUGAAAGCUUGCCACUCAAAUGUGCUCAGUCUUACCUGUGUGGCUGGGAGUGUUGGGGAUUUAAUGUCAAGGGAAAGAAUCUUCCAUCAAUGAAUGAUGAAAGUUAGUUUUCACAACUUCCGGUCCCCUUGGCCCUCAUCAAAGGGCUCCAGGUGAGGUUUGGGCUCCUUGCUAUCCUCCGAGUUUCCACGGUAGUUUUAAGCACCAUUGCCCGUGGUAAUGGCUGACAUUGAUACUGCACUUUUUUUUUAUUUAAGAUGGAGUUCCCCUCUGCCACCCAGACUGGAGUACAGUGGCGCGAUCCUGGCCAUCGCAACCUCCGCCUCCCAGGUUCAAGCGAUUCUCCUGCCUCAGUCUCUCAAGUAGCUGGGAUAUGGGCACCUGUCACCAUGCCCAGCUAAUUUUUUUAAAAUUUAUUUUUAGUAGAGAUGGGGUUUCACCAUGUUGGCCAGGCUGGUCUCGAACUCCUGACCUCAGGUGAUCCACCCACACUUUUUAUUGUUUGCCUACACUUUCUAGACUUGCUUCAUCAGCCUACUCCGUUUCUGGUUGAUAUGGUUUGGUUGUGUCCCCACUCAAAUCUUAUCUAGAAGUGUAAUCCCCAAGUCUCAAGGGAGGGACCUGGUGUGAGGUGAUUGGAUUGGGGGGUGGUUCCCGCCAUGCUGUUCUCAUGAUAGUGAGUGAGUUCUCAUGAGAUCUGAUGGUUUUAUAAGGCAGUUUUCCCUAUUCUUGCUCACUCUUCUCUCUCUUUCUGCCAUGUGAAGAAGGUCCUUGCUUCCCCUUCACCUUCUACCAUGAUUGUAAGUUUCCUGAGGCCUCCCCUCAGCCAUGCACAACUGUGAGUCAAUUAAACCUCUUUCCUUUAUAAAUUACUCAGUCUCAGGUCGUAUCUUUAUAGCAGUAUGAGAAUGGACUAAUACACUGGUCUAUCCUUCAUCCAAAUUAACUACCUGCACUGCAGUCCUUGUCUCAGGCUCUGCUUUGAGGGACCCCAACUGUGACAGCCGCAUUAGAAUGCAUCACAUACUGCAGUGAAAUUCUAGAGUGGGUGUUGUCAGGUGGUGAUGAUUGUUAGAUAUGUCAGUCUGUUUUCAGGCUGCUGAUAAAGACAUACCUGAGACUGGGUAAUUUAUAAAGGAAAAGGAGGUUUAAUGGACUCACAGUUCCACAUGGCUAGGGAGGCCUCACAAUCAUGGCAGAAGGUGAAAGGCACGGCUUACAGGGUGGCAGCAAGAGAGGAAAUGAGAACCAAGUGAAAAGGUUUCUGCUUAUAAAACCAUCAGCUCUUGUGAGACUUAUUCAUUACAAUGAGAACAAUAUGGGGGAAACUGCCCCCAUGAUUCAAUUAUCUCCCACCAGAUCCCUCCUACAACACAUGAGAAUUGUGGGUGCUACAAUUCAAGAUGAGAUUUGAGUGGGGACAAAGUCAAACCAUAUCAUUAGAUAGGACACUGGAGAAAGGCAAGAAAGAAAAGACAUCUGAAGAAUGAAGGGAGCCAAAGAAAUGCCAACAUUUUGCUUUUUGAAGAAAAGCUAAAUUAAAGUCAAAAUGGAUUUAUCAAUUUCCUUGGGUUCGUGAAUGUACAGAACUUUAUUAAGGUAAGUCAAAACUUCUCUUUUUAUACUUAACCCAACUCAAAUUGGCUUAUGUAGGGGAAACAAGAAAUCAAAACCCAAAGGAACAUGCCAGUUCAGGAAUAUACAGUUAGCUAAGCUUCUUACUGAACAAAUAAAAUCACAAAGCAUGUAUGCAGAUAGACCACAAGUGACUAUAGUGAGGUAGUUUAUUUCAGCUCUAUUUAUCUGGAAUUAAUGCUACACCAUCUGACAUAUUAAGCAGUUAUGCAUCAGGUAUCAGUAGUUACAUCUUCCAGUGCCUCUUACAGUUGCCCCUGAUGGUAUAUCUACUCGAAAGUAUGUAAGUGCACUCACAUUCUUCAACAUUUCCUCAUUAAAGCCAGAUGGAAUUGGGCUUCUUAUACUUGCUAUUCAUUCAUUUAAUAUUAUUAGAGUGUCUACCAUGUAGUAGGCAUUUUCUGUAAAUGCUGGGGAUAUCUUGAUAACAAAGACAAAACCUUUCCCCACAUAGAUCUUAAAUUUUAGUGCGAAGAGAAAGACAAUGACUAUUUUGAAGUUACGAAGGGGAUUUGCUGAUUUGAAUGCCUACUUAGGAGAUUCAGAAGUGGUUGGAUUUAGGUGCUUAGAUUAAGUCAUCAGGAAUUUCCACCUUCUACCCAUAACAGUGAGCAUCUGAAACUUACAAAACAAUAUUUCCUAUUUUACUUCAUUUUAUUUUAGAGACAGGGUCUUGCCUGUUGCUCAGUCUGGAAUGCAGUGGCACAAUCAUAGCUCACUGCAGCCUCAAUUUCCUGGGCUCAAGGGAUCCUCCCAAAGUGCUGGGAUUACAGGUAUAAGCCACCAUGCCCGGCCAAGAUACUCUAUUUUUAAUUUACAGUUUAUAUCAAGACACUGAGCCAGGGGAAUUUGAAGUCACCCAUCCAGUGGUCUUAGCAUCUUUGCUCACACACUGAAUGACUUGAUGUAAAUGACUGAAUCAGACUUGUUUGCUUAUAGCUGACACCACCGAGCAAACAUAUUCUCUCUUUCUCUGGGACAACACCUGAUAUGGUCUGGCUCUGUGUCCCCACCCACAUCUCAUCUUAAAUUGUAAUCCAAAUUGUAAUCCCCACAUGUUGGGGGAGGGACCUCAUGGGAAGUGAUUGGAUCAUGGUGGUGGUUCCCCCUGUGCUAUUCUCGUGAAAGUGAGUGAGUUCUCAUGAGAUCUGAUGGUUUUAUAAGGGGCUCUUCCCCCUUCAUUUUGCACUUCUGUCUCCUGCUGCCUUGUGAAGAAGGACAUGUUUGCUUCCCCUUCCACCAUGAUUGUAAGUUUCCUGAGGCCUCCCCAGCCAUGCCAAACUGUGAGUUAAUUAAACCUCUUUCCUUUAUAAAUUAUCCAGUCUCGGGUAUUUCUUUAUAGCAGCAUGAAAAUGGACUAAUACAGCACCUAUCUCCCAGUAUUGUAUUUUCACAAUGGAAGUUUUAAUCCAGGGAUGUCUAAUCUUGUGGCUUCCUAGGCCACACUGGAAGAAGAAUUGUCUUGGGCCACACAUAAAAUACACUAACACUAAUGAUAGCUGAGAAGCUAAAGAAAAAUCACAAAUAAAUCUUACAAUGUUUCAAGAAAGUUUACGAAUUUGUAUUGGGCUAUCCUGGGCUGCGUGCAGCCAUGGGCUAUGGGUUGGACAAGCUUGGUUUAAUCCAUAGAUGGAGCAUUCUACACAGCUCCCUUAAAGAUGUUCCAGAAGUGCUGACUCUGUGUCAGGCACCAUGUUCACCACUUAGAUGUUCGUUUAAUCCUUACAAAAGAGCCAUGGAGCAUGGACUGUUACUGUGGCAGAUGUGUUAGCCUCCUGUGGUUGCCAUAACAAAAUACUACAAACUGCGUGGCUUAAAACACCAGGAAUUUAUUCUCACUGUUCUAAAAGACGGAAGUCCGAAAUCCAGGAGUCAACAGGGCUGUGCUCCUUUUUGAGGCUCUAGGGAAGAAUACUUCCUCCCCUCUUCCAGCUUCUGCUGGCCACAGGUGUUCCUCGGCUUGUGGCCACAUCACUCCAAUUGCUGCCUCCAUCCCACAUAGCCUUCUUCCCUAUGUGUGUGUUCUCACAUGGUCUUUGUAUAAGGAUAUCAGUUAUGGGAUUUAGUUCCUACCAUAAUCCAUCAUGAACUCUACUGCACUAAUUACGUCUACAAAGGCCUUAUUGCCAAAUAAGGUCACAUUCUGGGGUUUCAGGUGAAUAUAAAUUUUGGAAGGACACUAUUCAACCCAGUACAACAAGUAAAAUUUAAAAAGGCACCCUUUUACCUUGGCAUGUUAUCUCACUUGAUUUUUAUAACAGCCCUGUAGAUUAAACAGAUAAUAUGUUAUAUUCCCACUUCUAGAUAUCAUCACCCAUUAUUUGAGAGAAUGGAAAUGAAGUUCAGGGCUGUUAACACUCCUGCCACUGAAACAUCCCAGGCCAGUGACCUUUUCAUGUCUGACCUAACAGGUGGUUUCCAACCACAGUUACUUGUGACAUCAUUCCAUCACUCCCCAUACACAUUCCCUGUAGAUCAACUUAUCUGGCCCUACAAUUAUAGUUACAGGGAAUUUUACAUUCUUCAUCUUCCACAGGCAACUGAAUCUUCUGGGACAAAAAGCAUAUGUUCUCCCAUAGUAAUAAAAUUUCCCUUUUUUAGCCUGGCAUGUGACUGCCAAUAAUAACACUUCCCAGACUCUCAGGUGUCCACGUCUAUCCAAAGGGAAAUAUAGUCAGUGAUAACUUCCAGACAUAGAUGAAACAUGCCACACCUUAUAGUCACUUUAUGGGGUUCAUUCUCUCUUCCCAUAGACUGUCAUGCUGUCAUCAUGGCUGGAUCUGAUACGGCCACCGUGGACCUUGAGGUGACCUCGGGAAUGGAGACAGUGCAUGGGAGAGAAUCACAUUGGAAGGGGCCUGGGUUUCUGAAGACCCUGUAAGACAGAUCUCCUUGCAGCCCUGACUGCCCACAUUAGGGCUUUUAUGUUAGGGUGAAGUUACCUUGCAUUGUCAUAUAAGCAAUUGCUAUUUGUGGUGUCUUGCAAAUAAACCUAUUCUGAUCUAGUAUGUUUCCUAAAAAACAAAAGUUUGAACCCAGCUCUUUACGUGUUACAUGUUCUGAAUACAAAAAUAAGACCCAGUUUCUGCCCCCUAGCAGGACCCAAAACCCCUCAGUGAAGGCAUACACCAUAGGAAUAAUCUCACAAGUACUUU
rnacentral:lncRNA from 1 species